CUCUGGGGGACAUUAACGACAAGCAUGUGUGAAUUUCUCUACAUGGGUAUCGGUAUUUCGAAUUGGGGGACUUUUCGUGGAAUUAAAGGCCUCCCCCCCCUAACGCACUUACCAUGUGAGAAAAACACUCAAAAGGAUUGAAAUGAGCGAUUGAAACCUCCUUCUGAACAUCUGACGUUCAUAUUUUAACAUCAAUACCUAAUUUUUUCAUCAGUUUGGUAAUUCAUCAUAUGAUGCAUCCAAGCUAGUUUGUUUCUGUGAAUGUUGAAAGACUGAGGUACAUUAUUCGAGAACUCCUUUAAGAAGAAUAAGAAGAUGACUUCAUGGUCGAAUUUUCAGAAUAUCAGGUACAAUAUAUAUCUAACUUUAUUUUAUUUGACAGUUCAUUUAAAUGUAGGUUACAUUUGUAGUAUUCAUGAUAUACGUUACGGACAAUUAGAGUGGUAUUUCCUGCGAAUAAUACUGAAAUUUGCAUAUUCAGAUAGUACAUUAUGUGUUCUGUUGUUGGGUAACCAAACACGUAGCAUUUAGGUUAAAAAGAAACUCUGCUGAGCUGAAAACCAUUUCAGGGAUAUUUAAAUCAGGACAAGUUGGAACACACCACAUGGGAGUUUUCGAUUUGUGUGGAAUUUUCUACAAACCCUGAAUUUCCGGGAUGAAUUGUUAAUUCACGAGGAAUAGAUCGAGAAGUUCAACUUCGUACAGUUCCGAAAACAAAAAGGAAGAUGUAUAUCAUAUUUGUUAGUGCUGAAUAAUGAAAGUAAGAGCACUUUUCCAAAGACUGGCCACCCGCAAAUGUCCAGCGAAGAUCAAAAGAUCACAAUGGUGCCACAACAUUUCCCGGUGAUGUCAGAAUGACAUCACAUCUCAAUACCCCGAAGCAGAAUUGAGACGUUGAGACCUUGAUUUCUAGUGCUCGUUACGAAGCCAACUCGGAUACACACAACUUGGCAACUUUUAAUUCCCAUUCGGGGCGAACAAAAUCUGCUAAUUUCCGCGAUUCCUUGCCCCCCUUCUUCUCUAGCUGAAAUAAGGACCGUAAAACCAUACUUGAACCCAAAAUUAAUCGGAUAUUUCACGUUGUACUACCUCAACUCUGUCCAAAUUAAGAACUAUUAGUUUGAUUCUAUAAACAAAUAAUCUCAGACAACUAACGGAAUCAUAGAUAGAUACGCUGCAUGACCAACACAAUCAUCAAAGCUGUAUGCAGAUAAACUUUCCGCAUCAAACCCACCGCUUCUUUUACUAUUCUCAAUAGAUUAUGCUGCGGUUGACAAUUUUUUUCUCAACCUGCACCCUCUAACGAAGAUAAGUUAUUCACUGGGGUUGUAUUGAACGUACAAUUGAUUUCCAUAUAUACAUACAUAACUAUGCAGAUUAACUUGGGGACACACUUUACCAGAUUCGGGCAUUAAAUACAUCUGCAUUACCUGCCACGCAAGUUGCGAUUAUACAUUACAACAGUGUAAUACAAAUUGUAAUUCGACGAUGUGGGUAAUCUCAUAAAUGAAAAGGUAUGAAAAUCUGAAUAUCUACAUAAAGAAUGUAUCCGUAAAUCUGAACAUUCAAAACAACAACAAUCAUAAACAUCAAAAUGAUACAAGUAUAAAAUAAUUUUCAAACAUCCACAUACCUGCGUAAUGAUCCACAUUAACCAAUUCUAUAUGAAACCCUUCAGGGACUAAGAACUAAUACAGUAAUUGCAAAAUGCCA